rnacentral:rRNA from 1 species
UAGGGAAUAUUGCGCAAUGGGGGAAACCCUGACGCAGCGACGCCAUGUGGGGGAUGAAGGCCUUCGGGUCGUAAACCCCUGUCAGGAGGGAAUAAAGGUAACGGGCUAAUAUCCCGGUGCUCUGACAGUACCUCCAGAGGAAGCCCCGGCUAAUUACGUGCCAGCAGCCGCGGUAAUACGUAAGGGGCAAGCGUUGUCCGGAAUCACUGGGCGUAAAGGGCGUGUAGGCGGCAGCUUAAGUCGAAGGUGAAAUCGCCGGGCUUACCCCGGCAAUGGCCUUCGAUACUGGGUUGCUAGAGGACAGGAGAGGAGAGUGGAAUUCCUGGUGUAGCGGUGAAAUGCUUAGAUAUCAGGAAGAACACCAGUGGCGAAGGCGGCUCUCUGGACUGUUCCUGACGCUGAGGCGCGAAAGCUAGGGGAGCGAACAGG